rnacentral:lncRNA from 1 species
GCGUCUCAAUGCUAAUUAAUUCACUAAUUAACACUAAUUAGCCAUCUCCACAGUAAUGAUCUCUGUCUCGCAGGUGGACGUGUCGCUGGACGGGGGCCGGACGUGGCGCGAGGCCGAGCUGGGCCCGCGGCCGGAGCGGGGCCGGGGCUGGGCCUGGGCGCUGUGGGAGCUGCGGGCGCCGGUGCCCGCGGGGGCGCGGCUGGAGAUCGUCUGCAAGGCCGUGGACCGGAGCUACAACGUCCAGCCCGACACCGUGGCGCCCAUCUGGAACCUGAGAGGGGUCCUGAGCAACGCCUGGCACCGCGUGCCCGUCACCGUCACCAAGUGAGGGACAUCCCUGGGGACAUCGGAACAUUGGGGUAUUGGGGCUUUGGGGACAUUGGGGACACAGCAAGGACAUUGGGGACAUCUGGAACCUGCGCGAGGUCCUGAGCAACGCCUGGCACCGCGUCCCCGUCACCGUCACCAAGUGAGGGACAGCAGGACAUUGGGGUACUGGGGCUUUGGGGACAUUGGGGACAUCAGAGGUACAACCUCACCAUGGGUGAGGGACAUCUUUGGGGACAGCAGGACAUUGGGGUAUUGAGGCUUUGGGGACAUUGGGGACACAGCAGGGACAUCGGGGACAUUGGGGACAUCUGGAACCUGUGCGGGGUCCUCAGCAAUGUCUGGCACUGGGUCCCCGUCACCAUCACCAAGUCAGGGACAGCAGGACAUUGGGGACAUCGGGGACACAGCAGGGACAUCGGGGACAUUGGGGACAUCAGAGGUACGACGUCCAACCGGACACCGUGGGGCCCAUCUGGAACCUGAGCAAGGCCUGGCACGGGGUCAGCGUCACCGUCACCCAGUGAGGGACAUCGGGGACAUCGGGGACAUCUGGAACCUGCCCAGGGUCCCGAGCAAGGCCUGGCACCGGGUCAGUGUCACCGUCACCCAG